rnacentral:rRNA from 1 species
UACGUAGGGAGCAAGCGUUGUCCGGAAUCAUUGGGCGUAAAGCGCGCGUAGGCGGCCCUGUAAGUCCGUUGUGAAAACUCGAGGCUCAACCUCGAGACGCCGAUGGAAACCCCCCAGCUAGAGUCCGGAAGAGGAGAGUGGAAUUCCUGGUGUAGCGGUGAAAUGCGCAGAUAUCAGGAAGAACACCCGUGGCUAAGGCGGCUCUCUAGUACGGUACUGACGCUGAGACGCGAAAGCGUGGGGAGCGAACAGG